rnacentral:tRNA from 2 species
GUCUAUACUUUUUUUAGAAAAAUA